CCUACGCGUGGCAGCAGUGGGGAAUAUUGGGCAAUGGGCGCAAGCCUGACCCAGCAACGCCGCGUGAAGGAAGAAGGCUUUCGGGUUGUAAACUUCUUUUCUCAGGGACGAAGCAAGUGACGGUACCUGAGGAAUAAGCCACGGCGAACUACGUGCCAGCAGCCGCGGUAAUACGUAGGUGGCAAGCGUUAUCCGGAUUUACUGGGUGUAAGGGGCGUGUAGGCGGGAAGGCAAGUCAGAUGUGAAAACCAUGGGCUCAACCUGUGGCCUGCAUUUGAAACUGUUUGUCUUGAGUACUGGAGAGGCAGACGGAAUUCCUAGUGUAGCGGUGAAAUGCGUAGAUAUUAGGAGGAACACCAGUGGCGAAGGCGGUCUGCUGGACAGCAACUGACGCUGAGGCGCGAAAGCGUGGGGAGCAAACAGGAUUAGAUACCCCAGUAGUC
rnacentral:rRNA from 1 species